ACAUGGGUUAGACUGUGAUUGUUCCCAUAUUGUUGGUAGGGAAACUGAGGCAUGCAGGUGUUACAGAGCUCUCUCAAGUGGCAAGCUUUCUGGGUGGUUACAGAGUGGCAGAGCUGGGGUAUCCCAUGAUGUCACCACACUGCUAUAUGGAAAAGAACAUUAAUCGAGCACCUACGUGCUUGAUUCUCUUAAUUCUGUGACUGAACUCUCAAAACACCCUGGAUUGUCUACUUCCCCUCCUAGACUGUACUCUCCACAAGAGAGCAAAGCUGUGUCUGUUGCAUUCACUGUUGUCUUCCCAGAAGCAAGCAGCAUGCUGGAGACCCUCAAAUACAUGUGAAAUGAAGGGACACCUUGUGUUAUUUCACCUGUUUCCACCUGGUUCCCAAGUGGCAAGCUUGCAUUGAGGUUACAAAGUGGCAAAGCUGGGAUAUCACAUGAUGUCACCAUGAUGCUAUAUGAAAUGUAACAUUAAUUGAGUACCUAUGUGACCAGUUCUUUAAUUCUGUAAGUGAACUCUCAAAAAACCCUAGGUAAGUAUUAUCAACUCGAACUUUAACGGAUGAGGAAACUGGAAUUUUUUAAAAAAUGACUUAACCAAACAUCACAGAGCUGUAAACCAGGAUUUGAAUGGGUGAGCUGCACUCAGCCUUCAUCUCAAGUCAGUUUGCCUCUUUCUCCAAGAAGCCACAGUUGAUCCUGACCACAUCACAUAUGAGUUGCCUGGAUUGCAGUCAUUCAUUCACUAAGCAUCUUUUAGGAGGUCACAUGCCAGGCACCGUGUUAGAGCACUGCGUGUUUUGAAAUAUACAAAUAGUGGGAAACGAAAUCUUUGUUCUGGAUGCAGUUAUAAUUUGGAAAGCGAGGAAAUAAAUUAUAACAAGGGGAAAAAACAGACACAGAGGGAUUGAAAUGCAUAACAAUAGAGAUGAAACACGAAGAGUGAUAAAUGAAGAUUGAGUGUGCACACCUUCUGGAGGAGCCCUGAUUGAGUAUUUUAAAAUACUACUAAAGUCAUGCCGUGUGACUUCUGAAGCUAGCUCCUAAGAAGUCCUUGCAGCUUCUGCCUGCGACUCUUAGAACACUUGCUUUGAAGGAUGCCAGAUGCUGUCUUAAAAGUCUGAGCACUCUGAAACCAUCAUGCUGUGAGGAAGCCCAAGCUAACCACAUGGGCAAAAAAGAUGCCCUCUGACUGCCACCAUUUGAGACACUCUAAUUAAGAACUGCCUCAUUGAGCCCAUGAGGCCCUGUGAAUGAUAAUAAUAAAUUGUUUUUAACCACUA
rnacentral:lncRNA from 1 species